rnacentral:rRNA from 1 species
GAUGAACGCUGGCGGCGUGCCUAAUACAUGCAAGUCGAGCGAACGGACGAGAAGCUUGCUUCUCUGAUGUUAGCGGCGGACGGGUGAGUAACACGUGGAUAACCUACCUAUAAGACUGGGAUAACUUCGGGAAACCGGAGCUAAUACCGGAUAAUAUUUUGAACCGCAUGGUUCAACAGUGAAAGACGGUCUUGCUGUCACUUAUAGAUGUAUCCGCGCUGCAUUAGCUAGUUGGUAAGGUAACGGCUUACCAAGGCAACGAUGCAUAGCCGACCUGAGAGGGUGAUCGGCCACACUGGAACUGAGACACGGUCCAGACUCCUACGGGAGGCAGCAGUAGGGAAUCUUCCGCAAUGGGCGAAAGCCUGACGGAGCAACGCCGCGUGAGUGAUGAAGGUCUUCGGAUCGUAAAACUCUGUUAUUAGGGAAGAACAUAUGUGUAAGUAACUGUGCACAUCUUGACGGUACCUAAUCAGAAAGCCACGGCUAACUACGUG